rfam:Monodelphis domestica chromosome 4, whole genome shotgun sequence.
GAAAAGGCUUUUUCGAAAAGAGGAAACCAAAGCCAUCAAUAGUCCCACAAAAAUGCUCU